AGAUCCCUGUGUACCUGAGGCCUUCUGAAGCCUGGGGCCUUAUUACUCUUUUGUCAUUGCUGCGUUUUCCAUUGUGUUACAGUGACCUGGUGUGUAUCUUUGGAUUUGCACUACAAUUGGUCUCCUUUCUAAGCAGUGGUGCUACAGACCUUCUAAACAUGACCUCUAGUAGCAAGAGUACAGCCCGAUCAAUUGUCCAUUGACUUUCACAGGUGAUGCUUUCAGCCAGUUUAAGUCUCUGUUUGCUACAUCCCAAGUGAAGCUGCACAAGCAAUUCAGACAAUAGAGUUGUUUGGUAAUUCUGCUGAAUAAAAAAAAAAAAAAAAAAAAUGGGGGGAAGCAUGACAGUUGAAAUGUACUUGCUCUGUUCUAUGGAAAAAUUGAGGAUUCUGCAUCUGCAACUUUGUGGUAAAAUGCGGGCAUAAACAAUUGUAUGAUUCUGCAAAAGAACUGCAGAUCUUAAGCUGAGAAUACAGAGCAUAAGUUAACCUAUAGUGUCUAAAAGUUAGU